GACAGAGGUGCCAAGCGUUAGGCGGAAUCACUGGGCUUAAAGCGUGUGUAGGCGGACUGGUAAGUACCUUGUGAAAUCCCACGGCUUAACCGUGGAACUGCUCGGUAUACUGCCGGUCUUGAGCCACCUAGGGGCGAGCGGAACAAAUGGUGGAGCGGUGAAAUGCGUAGAUAUCGUCUGGAACGCCGAAGGUGAAAACAGCUCGCUGGGGCUGCGCUGACGCUGAGACACGAAAGCCAGGGGAGCGAACGGG
rnacentral:rRNA from 1 species